rnacentral:rRNA from 1 species
GAUGAACGCUGGCGGCGUGCCUAAUACAUGCAAGUCGAGCGAACAGACCAGGAGCUUGCUCCUCUGACGUUAGCGGCGGAAGGGUGAGUAACACGUGGAUAACCUACCUAUAAGACUUGGAUAACUUCGGGAAACCGGAGCUAAUACCGGAUAAUAUAUUUAACCGCAUGGUUCAAUAGUGAAAGACGGUUUUGCUGUCACUUAUAGAUGGAUCCGCGCCGCAUUAGCUAGUUGGUAAGGUAACGGCUUACCAAGGCAACGAUGCGUAGCCGACCUGAGAGGGUGAACGGGCACACGGGAACUGAGACACGGACCAGACUCCUAGGGGAGGCAGCAGUAGGGAAGCUGCCGCAAUGGGCGAAAGCGUGACGGAGCAACGCCGCGUGAGUGAUGAAGGUCUUCGGAUCGUAAAACUCUGUUAUUAGGGAAGAACAAAUGUGUAAGUAACUAUGCACGUCGUGACGGUACCUGAUCAGAAAGCCACGGCUAACUACGUG